AUACGUAGGUGACAAGCGUUAUCCGGAUUUACUGGGCGUAAAGGGCGUGUAGGCGGUCUUGCAAGUCAGAAGUGAAAUUCCUGAGCUCAACUCGGGCGCUGCUUCUGAAACUGCAGGACUUGAGUGCUGGAGGGGAUAGCGGAAUUCCUAGUGGAGCGGUAAAAUGCGCAGUGAUUAGGAAGAACACCGGGUGCGAAGGCGGCGAGCUGUCCAGUAACUGGCGCUGAGGCGAGAAAUCGUGGAGAGCAAACGGUAUGAGAUACCCUGGUAGUCCACGGCGUAAACGAUGAUUACUAGGUGUAGGGGGUAUCGACUCUCUCUGUGCCGCAGUUAACACAAUAAGUAUACCGCCUGGGGAGUACGGCCGCAAGGUUGAAACUCAAAGGAAUUGACGGGG
rnacentral:rRNA from 1 species